GACCCCAUAGCUCAGUGGUAGAGCGUAAGAUUCCAGCUUAGUCAGCAAGCACUUCCUUAAUGUCAUCCGUUCAAGCCGGGUUGGGGUCA